rnacentral:rRNA from 1 species
GCCGCCAUGGCGGCCGCGGGAAUUCGAUUGUGGCAGGGGCGGCGGUAAUACGGAGGAUGCAAGCGUUAUCCGGAAUUAUUGGGCGUAAAGCGUCCGUAGGUGGCGAAUCAAGUCUUUUGUCAAAGCGUGCGGCUCAACCGCAUACGGGCAGGAGAAACUGGUUUGCUUGAGUGCGAUAGGGGUCACAGGAAUUCCCAGUGUAGCGGUGAAAUGCGUAGAUAUUGGGAAGAACACCAGCGGCGAAAGCGUGUGACUGGGUCUGCACUGACACUGAGGGACGAAAGCUAGGGGAGCGAAAGGGAUUAGAUACCCCUGUAGUCCUAGCCGUAAACGAUGACAACUAGGUGUGGUUCGUAUCGACCCGAGCCGUGCCGUAGCCAACGCGUUAAAUUGUCCGCCUGGGGAGUACGCACGCAAGUGUGAAACUCAAAGGAAUUGACGGGGGCCCGCACAAGCGGUGGAGUAUGUGGUUUAAUUCGAUGCAACGCGAAGAACCUUACCAAGGCUUGACAUCCUGCGAAUCCUCUUGAAAGGGGGGAGUGCCUUCGGGAGCGCAGAGACAGGUGGUGCAUGGCUGUCGUCAGCUCGUGUCGUGAGAUGUUGGGUUAAGUCCCGCAACGAGCGCAACCCACGUUUUUAGUUGCCAGCAUUCAGUUGGGCACUCUAGAGAGACUGCCGGUGACAAACCGGAGGAAGGUGUGGAUGACGUCAAGUCAGCAUGCCCCAUACGCCUUGGGCUACACACGUACUACAAUGCGUUGGACAGAGAGUUGCAAGUUAGCGAUAACAAGCCAAUCUCGUAAACCAACGCUCAGUUCAGAUUGCAGGCUGCAACUCGCCUGCAUGAAGGCGGAAUCGCUAGUAAUCGCAGGUCAGCAUACUGCGGUGAAUACGUUCCCGGGCCUUGUACACACCGCCCGUCACACCAUGGGAGUUGGUCACGCCCGAAGUCGUUACUCUAACCGUUCGCGGAGGAGGAUGCCGAAGGUGGGGCUGAUGACUGGGGUGAAGUCGUAACAAGGUAACCAAUCACUAGUGAAUUC